UGCCUUAGUAGCGGCGAGUGAAGCGGCAAAAGCUCAAAUUUGAAAUCUGGCUCUUUCAGAGUCCGAGUUGUAAUUUGAAGAAGGUAUCUUUGGGUCUGGCUCUUGUCUAUGUUUCUUGGAACAGAACGUCACAGAGGGUGAGAAUCCCGUGCGAUGAGAUGAUCCAGGCCUAUGUAAAGUUCCUUCGAAGAGUCGAGUUGUUUGGGAAUGCAGCUCUAAGUGGGUGGUAAAUUCCAUCUAAAGCUAAAUAUUGGCGAGAGACCGAUAGCGAACAAGUACAGUGAUGGAAAGAUGAAAAGAACUUUGAAAAGAGAGUGAAAAAGUACGUGAAAUUGUUGAAAGGGAAGGGCUUGAGAUCAGACUUGGUAUUUUGUAUGUUACUUCUUCGGGGGUGGCCUCUACAGUUUAUCGGGCCAGCAUCAGUUUGGGCGGUAGGAGAAUUGCGUUGGAAUGUGGCACGGCUUCGGUUGUGUGUUAUAGCCUUCGUCGAUACUGCCAGCCUAGACUGAGGACUGCGGUUUAUACCUAGGAUGUUGGCAUAAUGAUCUUAAGUCGCCCGUCUUGAACACGGACCA
rnacentral:rRNA from 1 species